UACGAAGGGGGCUAGCGUUGCUCGGAAUUACUGGGCGUAAAGCGCACGUAGGCGGUCUUUUAAGUCGGGGGUGAAAUCCUGGAGCUCAACUCCAGAACUGCCUUCGAUACUGGAAGACUUGAGUCCGGGAGAGGUGAGUGGAACUGCGAGUGUAGAGGUGAAAUUCGUAGAUAUUCGCAAGAACACCAGUGGCGAAGGUGGCUCACUGGCCCGGUACUGACGCUGAGGUGCGAAAGCGUGGGGAGCAAACAGGG
rnacentral:rRNA from 1 species